rnacentral:lncRNA from 10 species
UGGGGUUUCUUCAUGUUGGUCAGGCUAGUUUCGAACUCCCGAUCUCAGGUGAUCCACCCGCCUCGGUCUCCCAAAGUGCUGGGAGACCGUGAGCCACCAUGCUCGGCUCAAGUCAACUUUUUAUCUCUUGCCUUGUUCUCUAUUUUACUGAUUCUACCUCCUCAGUGAUGCUCAGAUGCAUCCUCCCGCUUUAUUGAUUGAGGCCUCCAUCAUUGCUUAUACAAAUGAUCCCAACAGAAUUCAUCUCCCAGGCCUUCUUCAAUCCAGCUUCCUUUUGGUUGCCAGCAUCAUCUUCCAAAAAAACCACAGAUCUGAUCAGAUCACUGCCCUGCUCGAAAUCCUUCAAUGACUUGGGAUGGCACUUGGCACAGUGCACUGAAAAUAGUUUACUGGUUUCUCUUCUUCAGGUUGCUGUAAGCAACUCAGGGGCAAAAACAAUGCCCGUUUCCCUAGUGCCUAGCACAAUGCCUAACACACAGCAGGUGCUUAAUAAAUAUUUCAGUGGAAAGAUUCCAAGUCUCACCAGAUGCCAUUUGCAUGUGUUAACAGAAGAGCAGGGCAGUGGUUAAGAGCAGAGACUUCAGAUUGGCAGACUUGGGAAGUCGGAGUGCCAGCAUCGCCAACCUCCAGCUAUUUGGCCUGGGAAAGAUUUCUUAUCUUUUGUCAACCUGUUUCCUCAAUUGUUAAAUUAAUACCACCUACUUUACAGAGACUGAGAUAACGCAUCUUUUCAUUUAUUUAUUUUUUUUGAGACAGUCUUGCUCUCUCGCCCAGGCUGGAGUGCAGUGGCAUGAUCUCGGCUCACUGCAGCCUCCGCCUCCGCAUUCAAGUGAUUCUCGUGUUUCAGCCUCUCAAGUAGCUGGGAUUACAGGCAUGCAUCACCACAUCUGGCUAAUUUUUUUGUAUUUUUAGUAGAGAUGGGUUUCUCCAUGUUGGUCAGGCUGGUCUUGAACUCCUGGCCUCAACCAUCCACCUGUCUUGGCCUCUCAAAGUGCUGGGAUUACACGUGUGAGCCACCGCACUGGGCCAAGAUAUUGCGUCUAAAGGGGUCAGCACAGUGGCUGGCACAGAGAAGCACUCAAUAAAUGGCUGCCAUUAUUAUUAUUAUUAUUAUUUUUUUUUUUUGAGACGGAGUCUGGCUCUGUCGCCCAGGCUGGAGUGCAGUGGCGCAAUCUCGGCUCACUGCAAGCUCCACCUCCCGGGUUCACG